CAGAGUCCAGUAUGUCUAGUUCAUCUAGAGUUGGGUAUUGUGUUGAAUUCCAUUUCCUAUCCUUAUUGAUUCAUUCACACUGGGCUUAAUUUGAGGAUGCUCCCCCCAUGGGGUCCUUGCUGUGUCCCUUCAUGGGCUCUCUUCCAGUGGAUGUGAUAAACACAGCUGGAAAGUUGCCUUUUAAAUAGUUUACGACCUUCUUUAUCCUGUACAUAAUAUAGCAAAUAUGUGAUGUUCAGAGCCAUAAAAGAUAUUUUAAAGGUAUCGUUUGUUUGCUGAUGUUGCACAAAUGUACUCAGCGGUCUCAGUUAUCAUAUAUUCUCAAGUUGGAUUGUCUUUUAUGACUGGGGGAAGGGCAAGAGAUAUUUGUGAUGUUUCAGCCUCUCUUAUGUAAGUAACUGAAACACACAAUUUUGCUAUUGAAAAUAUUAAGUAACCAGGAACAUGGUACCCGGCUGGCUCACAAAAAGCUAAAAUUGCAUUACUUAGGAGCCCCACGCCUGAGGAACUUAUGAAAACCACUUGAAUAAACAGGAGGGAGGAAGAGGUGACAGCACUCCAACUGCAAACACAAAGCAAGGGCCCCAGAUUCUUGUAUCUACACAUCACAAGAGCUUAUGUUAGGGGCUGUGAAGCCUAUUAAUUUCUCUCUCCCUGACCCUGCUUUCCCAUUGGAAGUGCAUGUGAUUAUUUUCAAUUGUCACACAUAUAGCUGUUUUGUGAUUUCAUAUACAAGCAAAUCUGUAUAUUUUUUCAACAA
rnacentral:lncRNA from 1 species